GCUCUCAGACAACAUAUCAACUUAUACAUUUUCCUUUUUGGUCCCAAUGAUCUUUCAUCCUUAUAGUAACUAGAAAUCUACUUGACUACCAUUUUAAAACUUUUAUUUCUUUCAGCUACCUGGGGAGGAGCCACUGUAUGCAGAUACAAUUAAACUCCUAUUCUGUUUCCAGAAGGUCUUCCCUCCAGCCCCCAAAGCCAUGAGGUCACAAGGGCCAAGUCAGCUACAUGCAAACAUACUUCACAGUUGCUAAGGAGACUGCACAUCAAAAAAAAAAAAAAAGACUCAGUAGUUUAUAUCCUUUAAGGGCAGGGAUUUAGCUCAGUGGUUUUGCCGCCUGCUGUGCAAGCGCAAGGUACCGAGUUCGAUCCUCAGUACCAAAAAAAAAAAGACUCAGUAAGGAGAUUGCACAUCAGUGGCAACUAGGCAAGGAGUAAAGGAAGGGGACAGACAAUGCAGAAGGGGGUUUUGUGGCAGCAACUCACCUGGACCCUGGCCUGUCUCAGAGAUGGUGAAUUUGAAAACUGUGGCCUGGGAGCUGAAUGAAGGAGCAGCAUCUGUGAGUGUUGGGAACCUGAGGAAAGAAAAGACUAGACUGACUGAGAAAGCUCAGCAUCUGAUUAGAUGAAGAUUUCCAGUUACCUCUGUUUAAUUCUCCUCAUAUUCAGAAGGAUAACAUAAACACCUCUGUCAUACCUCAAGGCCUCAGGCCCUGAAGCCCAAGUCGGACACAGGUAUGUGGAAAGACACAUGAAGCUGAAAUCUUUAAGCUUUUAGUGACAUCUAGUGGAAAAUUUUAAUAGGUUAACUUUUGUUCACUGUCAGGAAGUACACUUUGCUCCACGUAAACACUCAGCUUUGUAAAUCAUUGGGACAAUUUUAAAUAUAAAAAAAAAAUCAGCCUUAUUGCAUACAUGAUGGAUCUCUGCCUCCAACAAUUUCCUCUGGCCCAUUGUUCAGGUGCCAGGAGGCAUAACAGUCAUGUGCAACUCAGAUCACUACUGUCUAC
rnacentral:lncRNA from 1 species